rnacentral:misc_RNA from 1 species
GCGCGCCUGGCGCCUGUGCGGCUGUGCUGUGCCUCGCAGUGCCGCCUGCCGCGGUGCGGCCUGGGCCUGGCCGGCGGCUGGCCGCGAGCGCGCAGCGGCGCGGCGCUGGCCGUUGGAGAGGAGGCGCGGCACGGGCGCUGGAGAGCAGGCGCUGCGCUGGAGAGGAGAGAAGGGCAGCUGGGCAGGAGCAGCCGAGCAGCGGAGCAGGAGGCGCUGAGCACUGAGCUCGCUGUGGCGCUGGCGCCUGGUGCGCGACAGCCGCACCCCGGGCGCUCGUGGUCGAGCCGCUCUCCGCCCUCGGCUGUGCACGGCGCGACCUACCCGCGGCUCGCCGACGCGGCUGUUCAGCCCGGCGGCUCGUCUUCUGCUCCGCUGCCCGACGCGGCCAACAACCC